rnacentral:rRNA from 1 species
UGUUCACGAUGAUAUAGGUCCGAAGGCAGUGCGGGCGACGAAUCAUAGUCCGAUAUAGGGCGUCCGUAACAGGAAUUGGCGGGGGAGCACAGCCCUGGGCAGACAGGUGCCAUCCUCCGCGGAACUACCGCUGACUUUUUUUAUUACUGAUAUUAUUGGGUGAAAAAUACCUACUUCACCUUUCAAGGUUCAUCGGGAAAGCCCCCAGCUAAACUGGCCACCGUUCUGGGAAAACAACGUGGCCUGGCACCGUAAGGUUCGAGGGGUACGUUCCGGGUAGGAGUAUAAUCCCGUAUUCCUGGACCGACCCCAUUGGCCAACGUCCCCCCGAAACCGGUUUUUACCUUGAGGGUUUAAGUUAGGGUCUCCACCGGUUUAGUUCCCCGGUUAUUCCUAGCUGCACACAUUCCUCCUAGGUGUGACACAGGCUACGAGCUUGGAUUGUGCCUUCUCGAAGCCUCGAAGCAAGCUACCUGGAAAGUACCUCCCCACGGAUCUACUUAAAGGAGUGUGGCGGCGACCACCCCAGCAUUUCCUUUUUUU